CUGCAGCCAAUUAAGCUGAAUAUGCUCUAUCCCCCCUGGGGGCCUGGUGUGCAAUAGUUGCAAACAGUGGCCUCUGUGGUAGUGUGUGCAGCUUGUUGUUUGUAUUGGUUGCCCUAAGGGACCAUGGAGACAGCC
ensembl:snoRNA SNORA70 Small nucleolar RNA SNORA70